GAAUCUUCGGCAAUGGGCGCAAGCCUGACCGAGCGACGCCGCGUGGAGGACGAAGGCCUUCGGGUUGUAAACUCCUGUCGAGGGGGAGAAAGGCUCUUCACGGGGCUUGAUCGAUCCCUGGAGGAAGCACGGGCUAAGUUCGUGCCAGCAGCCGCGGUAAGACGAACCGUGCGAACGUUAUUCGGAAGCACUGGGCUUAAAGCGCGUGUAGGCGGAUCGGUGCGUCGGCGCCUGAAAUCCCCCGGCUCAACCGGGGAACGCGGCACGAAACGGCCGGGCUGGAGGGACGUAGGGGGGUCUGGAACUUCCGGUGGAGCGGUGAAAUGCGUUGAGAUCGGAAGGAACGCCCGUGGCGAAAGCGAGACCCUGGACGUCUACUGACGCUGAGACGCGAAAGCUAGGGGAGCGAACGG
rnacentral:rRNA from 1 species